GACGAACGCUGGCGGCGUGCCUAAUACAUGCAAGUUGAGCGAUGAAGAUUGGUGCUUGCACCAAUUUGAAGAGCAGCGAACGGGUGAGUAACGCGUGGGGAAUCUGCCUUUGAGCGGGGGACAACAUUUGGAAACGAAUGCUAAUACCGCAUAACAACUUUAAACAUAAGUUUUAAGUUUGAAAGAUGCAAUUGCAUCACUCAAAGAUGAUCCCGCGUUGUAUUAGCUAGUUGGUGAGGUAAAGGCUCACCAAGGCGAUGAUACAUAGCCGACCUGAGAGGGUGAUCGGCCACAUUGGGACUGAGACACGGCCCAAACGCCUACGGGAGGCAGCAGUAGGGAAUCUUCGGCAAGGGACGAAAGUCUGACCGAGCAACGCCGCGUGAGUGAAGAAGGUUGUCGGAUCGUAAAACUCUGUUGGUAGAGAAGAACGUUUGUGAGAGUGGAAAGCUCAUCAAGUGACGGUAACUACCCAGAAAGGGACGGCUAACUACGUG
rnacentral:rRNA from 1 species